GGGCCCGUAGCUCAACGGACAGAGCUCACGGCUUCUAACCGUGUGGGUGGGGGUUCGACUCCCUCCGGGCCCG
rnacentral:tRNA from 1 species